rnacentral:tRNA from 1 species
GCCUGGGUGGCUCAGUCGGUGAAGUGUCCGACUUCGGCUCAGGUCAUGAUCUCACAGUUCGUGGGUUCAAGCCCCGCAUCAGGCU